rnacentral:lncRNA from 1 species
UGUAAAAAUGAGCAAAGACAGCGAGUGACAUUUCAUCAAAGAGGGUAUAGGAGGAAAGAGAAUGAAAAGAUUUUCACUAUCAUUAGCUAUUAGAGAAAAACAAAACCACAGUGAUGUAUCACUAUGUACCAAUGAUAAUGACUAAACUAAAAAAUAGUGUUAAUACCAACAAUGAUAAGAAUGUGGAGAAACUAGAUCACUCAAAUUGCUAGUGGGAAUGUAAGAUGGUAUGGUGCAUUUUAAAAACAAAAUGUGUACUUGUCAUAAGACCUAGCAGUUGCACUUGAGCUUUUAUUCCAAAGAAAGGAAAACUUAUGUUCAUGCACCAACCUGUACACAAAUGUAUAUAUUCCCAAUAGCCCCCAAACUAGAAACAACCUUAUCCUUCAGAUAAAGGUUAAAUGGUUUGACAGGAUCUUCAUACUGUGAAAUAUUACUCAGCAACAAAAAGGGAAAGAAAGGAACCAUCAAUAUGUGCAACAACUUGAAAUGUUCUCUAGGAUAUCAUGUAGAAUGAAAAAAAAUCUCAAAUGGUUACAUACCAUUUGAUUUUUCUUUUUUUAAAAUAACAUCCUUAAUUAAAGUUUUUGCAAAGGUAAAAUAAAAUGGCCUUAGCCCAUGAAAAUACUAAGUUUUCUAAUUGUAUUCCAAGAUGGUCUUUAAAACAUAAUAUCCCAUAUGUCACAGAAGAGCAAACUUGAUCUGCAAUUAUACAGAAUGAAUUUUACAAAUAUAAUAAAUAUAUUUAUGCCCUUACGUGAAACAUUAUGUAUAACAGUAGUUGACAAUAGUAGCUCAAAAUAGCAAAAAGUUUAUCUCCUCCCCCCCAAAUUAUGAUUCAUCUUUAUAUAAAAUUCUUAGAUAUCUGUUGCCACAUCUGAAAAUAGGUGUAAGGAUACAUAAUUGUGCAUGUGAUGAUGAGGACCACAUGGGUUAAUGCAAGUACAGUUGAUAUGUUUGCAUUAAAUGAAUGCUGGAGAUGCAAUAAAAUGAAGCAGCAAAGGAAAGGAUUUUAGAUUUUGAAAGUCCCUGUUUCUCACGUCAAGGCAACAAGGACAAUGAAAUUUUCUCAGUAAGUUUCCUCAUCUAUAAAAAAGGAAAUUCACUUAAUUUACUUAUAAAGACUGAAUGACUCAAUGUAGAUAAAGGUCCAAACACAGUAGAUAUGUAAUGAAUUAUAAGUUGUUAGUAAUAUUGAAUAAUAUUUAAAAUUUUUUCUUAAUUCUCUCUUAAUCAUUAACUAAUUAAAGUCUCUUAAUCAUUAAAAAAACUUAGAUACUUAAAAAUUAGAUUUAU